rnacentral:rRNA from 1 species
UACGUAGGGGGCAAGCGUUGUCCGGAAUCAUUGGGCGUAAAGAGCGCGCAGGCGGCUUGGUAAGUCGGAUGUGAAAUCCCGAGGCUCAACCUCGGGUCUGCAUCCGAUACUGCCCGGCUAGAGGUAGGUAGGGGAGAUCGGAAUUCCUGGUGUAGCGGUGAAAUGCGCAGAUAUCAGGAGGAACACCGGUGGCGAAGGCGGCUCUCUGGGCAUUACCUGACGCUGAGGAGCGAAAGUGUGGGGAGCGAACAGG